UAAAUAUUAAGCUCGCCUUUGGCUUUUAUAAGCCCUGGCUUGCGAAAUCCUUUGUAUUUAAAACCCCACUCUUUUAAAAUGAAUCCAUAUUUUUUAUAUUAAAAAUAAUAUAAAGA
rnacentral:misc_RNA from 1 species